GACGAACGCUGGCGGCGCGCUUAACACAUGCAAGUCGAACGGAAAGGCCUGCUUUCCCUUGUGGAUUGCGGGUACUCGAGUGGCGAACGGGUGAGUAACACGUGAGUGAUCUGCCCCCAACUUGGGUAUAAGCCUGGGAAACUGGGUCUAAUUCCCGAUAGGACUGCAGGGUGGUGCCUGUGGUGGAAAACGAUUUUCUAGUGGUUGGGGAUGAGCUCGCGGCCUAUCAGCUUGUUGGUGGGGUAAUGGCCUACCAAGGCGGCGACGGGUAGCCGGCCUGGGAGGGUGGACGGCCACAUUGAGACUGGGAUACGGCCCAGACUCCUACGGGAGGCAGCAGUGGGGAAUAUUGCACAAUGGGCGGAAGCCUGAUGCAGCGACGCCGCGUGGGGGAUGACGGCCUUCGGGUUGUAAACUCCUUUCGACCGCGAGGAAGCCACCUGGUUGGAAGGGUGGUGACGGUAGUGGUAGAAGAAGCACCGGCUAACUACGUG
rnacentral:rRNA from 1 species